UGCUGACGAGCGGCGAACGGGUGAGUAAUGCUUCGGAAUCUACCCAGUAGUGGGGAAUAACUAACCGAAAGGUUAGCUAAUACCGCAUACGUCCUACGGGAGAAAGCGGGGGUCGCAAGACCUCGCGCUAUUGGAUGAGCCGAAGUCGGAUUAGCUAGUUGGUGAGGUAACGGCUCACCAAGGCGGCGAUCCGUAGCUGGUCUGAGAGGACGACCAGCCACACUGGAACUGAGACACGGUCCAGACUCCUACGGGAGGCAGCAGUGGGGAAUAUUGGACAAUGGGGGAAACCCUGAUCCAGCGACGCCGCGUGUGUGAAGAAGGCCUGCGGGUUGUAAAGCACUUUUAGUGGGGAUGAAAAGUUCAGGGCUAAUACCUCUGGGCAUUGACCUAACCCACAGAAAAAGCACCGGCUAACUCUGUGCCAGCAGCCGCGGUAAUACAGAGGGUGCAAGCGUUAAUCGGAAUUACUGGGCGUAAAGCGUGCGUAGGCGGUUUCGUAAGUCGGGUGUGAAAGCCCCGGGCUCAACCUGGGAAUUGCAUUCGAGACUGCGAAGCUAGGGUGCGGAAGAGGGAAGCGGAAUUUCCGGUGUAGCGGUGAAAUGCGUAGAUAUCGGAAGGAACAUCAGUGGCGAAAGCGGCUUCCUGGUCCAGCGCCGACGCUCAGGCACGAAAGCGUGGGGAGCAAACAGGAUUAGAUACCCUGGUAGUCCACGCCAUAAACGAUGAGAACUAGACGU
rnacentral:rRNA from 1 species